CCUACGGGUGGCAGCAGUGAGGAAUAUUGGUCAAUGGACGCAAGUCUGAACCAGCCAUGCCGCGUGAAGGAAGACGGCUCUAUGAGUUGUAAACUGCUUUUGUAUGAGGGUAAAACAUGACACGUGUUUCGGUUUGAAAGUAUCGUACGAAUCAGGAUCGGCUAACUCCGUGCCAGCAGCCGCGGUAAUACGGAGGAUUCAAGCGUUAUCCGGAUUUAUUGGGUUUAAAGGGUGCGUAGGCGGUUCGUUAAGUUAGAGGUGAAAUCCCGGGGCUCAACUCCGACACUGCAGUUGAUACUGUCUGGCUAGAGUUUAGUAGAGGUAGGCGGAAUGUAUGGUGUAGCGGUGAAAUGCAUAGAGAGCAGACAGAACACCGAUUGCGAAGGCAGCUUACCGAACUACAACUGACGUUGAGGCUCGAAAGCGUGGGGAGCAAACAGGAUUAGAUACCCUAGUAGUC
rnacentral:rRNA from 1 species